UAUUAAAAAAUAUUUAAAUGAAUAAUAUAUUUUUGUCAUUGUUUAUUAUUGAAAAACAUUUAAAAAUGUGAUAUAAGAAGAGGAUAAGGGAGGAAGUGGAGGAAAAGGAGGGGAAAUAAAUGAACUUAGAUUUGCGUUGAAUAAAAUCAGUAGCAAACGUCCUGAUAAACGUUGUCACGUGCUAUUACUGUACGUAACAUGAUAGAUUACGCAAAAGCACGACAGUGUCACGAUCGGUGGGUUUGCUUUAUAAUAGAUUCAAGUCAGUCUUAUAAUUUUGCUAUGUUUCAACUAACGUUUUUAAGUUCAAGUAGUCAGUGAAAAUAUAUAUGAGAUAAAAAAAAA